rnacentral:rRNA from 1 species
CUUGAGUAAUCUAUAAGAGGUCCAGCCUGCCCAGUGACUCUGUUCAACGGCCGCGGUAUCCUAACCGUGCGAAGGUAGCGUAAUCACUUGUUCUUUAAAUGAGGACUUGUAUGAAUGGCACCACGAAGGUUAUACUGUCUCCUCUCUCUAAUCAGUGAAACUAAUCUCCCCGUGAAGAAGCGGGGGUAACUAUAUAAGACGAGAAGACCCUAUGGAGCUUUAAACCAAGUGGCAACUGCAUUAGUCACAUUUAAAUUUCAGAAAACUAACUUUCACCAAAGCAUUAUUGCUCCUAGUUUUAGGUUGGGGCGACCACGGAGUAAAAACUAACCUCCGCAAUGAAUGGGGGACUCCCCUAAACCAAGGACCACAGCCCAAAGAAUCAUUACAUUGACAUAAAUUGACCCAAAAACUUGACCAAUGAAC